UAAUACGGGGGGAGCAAGCGUUGUUCGGAUUUACUGGGCGUAAAGGGCGCGUAGGCGGCCACCGCAAGUCAAUUGUGAAAUCUCCGGGCUUAACUCGGAAAGGUCAACUGAUACUGCGGGGCUAGAGUGCGGAAGGGGCAACUGGAAUUCUCGGUGUAGCGGUGAAAUGCGUAGAUAUCGAGAGGAACACCUGCGGCGAAGGCGGGUUGCUGGGCCGACACUGACGCUGAGGCGCGAAAGCCAGGGGAGCGAACGGGAUUAGAUACCCCGGUAGUCCUGGCCUUAAACGAUGAAUGCUUGGUGUCUGGGGUUAUAAAGUCCCCGGGUGCCGUCGCUAACGCUUUAAGCAUUCCGCCUGGGGAGUACGGUCGCAAGACUG
rnacentral:rRNA from 1 species